AGUAAAAUAAGCUAAAUAUUAAGCUAUUGGAUUCAUAAUCCAAAAAUGACUUAAAUCUUUUACUU
rnacentral:tRNA from 1 species